rnacentral:rRNA from 1 species
UCCUACGGGAGGCAGCAGUAGGGAAUCUUCGGCAAUGGACGAAAGUCUGACCGAGCAACGCCGCGUGAGUGAAGAAGGUUUUCGGAUCGUAAAACUCUGUUGUUAGAGAAGAACGUUGUGUAGAGUGGAAAAUUACACAAGUGACGGUAUCUAACCAGAAAGGGACGGCUAACUACGUGCCAGCAGCCGCGGUAAUACGUAGGUCCCGAGCGUUGUCCGGAUUUAUUGGGCGUAAAGCGAGCGCAGGUGGUUUAAUAAGUCUGAUGUAAAAGGCAGUGGCUCAACCAUUGUGUGCAUUGGAAACUGUUAGACUUGAGUGCAGUAGAGGAGAGUGGAAUUCCAUGUGUAGCGGUGAAAUGCGUAGAUAUAUGGAGGAACACCGGUGGCGAAAGCGGCUCUCUGGACUGUAACUGACACUGAGGCUCGAAAGCGUGGGUAGCAAACAGGAUUAGAUACCCUGGUAGUCCACGCCGUAAACGAUGAGUGCUAAGUGUUAGAGGGUUUCCGCCCUUUAGUGCUGAAGUUAACGCAUUAAGCACUCCGCCUGGGGAGUACGGCCGCAAGGCUGAAACUCAAAGGAAUUGACGGA